rfam:Oryza sativa Japonica Group DNA, chromosome 4, cultivar: Nipponbare, complete sequence.
CCCUACUCAAUUUUUAGUUUCUGGUGUUCAACGUUUAACCGUCUGUCUUAUAUGAUUUUUUUAUAAUUAAUAUUUUUAUUAUUAUUAGAUGAUAAAACAUUAAUAAUACUUUAUACAUGACUUAUCUUUUUAAAUUUUUUCGUAACUUUUUCAAAUAAAACGAACGGUCAAAUGUUAGUCACGAAAACCUAGGAAUUAAG